rnacentral:rRNA from 1 species
UACGAGGGGUGCAAGCGUUGUUCGGAAUUAUUGGGCGUAAAGGGCAGGUAGGUGGUCUUAUAAGUCUACUGUGAAAUCCCCGGGCUUAACCCGGGACGUGCGGUGGAUACUGUAGGACUAGAGUACUGGAGGGGUUCGUGGAAUACCCGGUGUAGCGGUGAAAUGCGUAGAUAUCGGGUGGAACACCAGAGGCGAAGGCGGCGAACUUGACAGUAACUGACACUCAACUGCGAAAGCGUGGGGAGCAAACAGG